rnacentral:rRNA from 1 species
AUUGAACGCUGGCGGAAUGCUUUACACAUGCAAGUCGAACGGUAGAGGGGGCAACCCCUUGAGAGUGGCGAACGGGUGAGUAAUAUAUCGGAACGUGCCCAGUCGUGGGGAUAACGUAGCGAAAGCUACGCUAAUACCGCAUACGAUCUAUGGAUGAAAGCGGGGGAUCGCAAGACCUCGCGCGAUUGGAGCGGCCGAUAUCAGAUUAGGUAGUUGGUGAGGUAAAGGCUCACCAAGCCGACGAUCUGUAGCUGGUCUGAGAGGACGACCAGCCACACUGGGACUGAGACACGGCCCAGACUCCUACGGGAGGCAGCAGUGGGGAAUAUUGGACAAUGGGCGAAAGCCUGAUCCAGCAAUGCCGCGUGAGUGAUGAAGGCCUUAGGGUUGUAAAGCUCUUUACCAGGGAUGAUAAUGACAGUACCUGGAGAAUAAGCUCCGGCUAACUCCGUGCCAGCAGCCGCGGUAAA